rnacentral:rRNA from 2 species
AUGCAAGUCGAACGAACUCUGGUAUUGAUUGGUGCUUGCAUCAUGAUUUACAUUUGAGUGAGUGGCGAACUGGUGAGUAACACGUGGGAAACCUGCCCAGAAGCGGGGGAUAACACCUGGAAACAGAUGCUAAUACCGCAUAACAACUUGGACCGCAUGGUCCGAGUUUGAAAGAUGGCUUCGGCUAUCACUUUUGGAUGGUCCCGCGGCGUAUUAGCUAGAUGGUGGGGUAACGGCUCACCAUGGCAAUGAUACGUAGCCGACCUGAGAGGGUAAUCGGCCACAUUGGGACUGAGACACGGCCCAAACUCCUACGGGAGGCAGCAGUAGGGAAUCUUCCACAAUGGACGAAAGUCUGAUGGAGCAACGCCGCGUGAGUGAAGAAGGGUUUCGGCUCGUAAAACUCUGUUGUUAAAGAAGAACAUAUCUGAGAGUAACUGUUCAGGUAUUGACGGUAUUUAACCAGAAAGCCACGGCUAACUACGUGCCAGCAGCCGCGGUAAUACGUAGGUGGCAAGCGUUGUCCGGAUUUAUUGGGCGUAAAGCGAGCGCAGGCGGUUUUUUAAGUCUGAUGUGAAAGCCUUCGGCUCAACCGAAGAAGUGCAUCGGAAACUGGGAAACUUGAGUGCAGAAGAGGACAGUGGAACUCCAUGUGUAGCGGUGAAAUGCGUAGAUAUAUGGAAGAACACCAGUGGCGAAGGCGGCUGUCUGGUCUGUAACUGACGCUGAGGCUCGAAAGUAUGGGUAGCAAACAGGAUUAGAUACCCUGGUAGUCCAUACCGUAAACGAUGAAUGCUAAGUGUUGGAGGGUUUCCGCCCUUCAGUGCUGCAGCUAACGCAUUAAGCAUUCCGCCUGGGGAGUACGGCCGCAAGGCUGAAACUCAAAGGAAUUGACGGGGGCCCGCACAAGCGGUGGAGCAUGUGGUUUAAUUCGAAGCUACGCGAAGAACCUUACCAGGUCUUGACAUACUAUGCAAAUCUAAGAGAUUAGACGUUCCCUUCGGGGACAUGGAUACAGGUGGUGCAUGGUUGUCGUCAGCUCGUGUCGUGAGAUGUUGGGUUAAGUCCCGCAACGAGCGCAACCCUUAUUAUCAGUUGCCAGCAUUAAGUUGGGCACUCUGGUGAGACUGCCGGUGACAAACCGGAGGAAGGUGGGGAUGACGUCAAAUCAUCAUGCCCCUUAUGACCUGGGCUACACACGUGCUACAAUGGAUGGUACAACGAGUUGCGAACUCGCGAGAGUAAGCUAAUCUCUUAAAGCCAUUCUCAGUUCGGAUUGUAGGCUGCAACUCGCCUACAUGAAGUCGGAAUCGCUAGUAAUCGCGGAUCAGCAUGCCGCGGUGAAUACGUUCCCGGGCCUUGUACACACCGCCCGUCACACCAUGAGAGUUUGUAACACCCAAAGUCGGUGGGGUAACCUUUUAGGAACCAGCCGCCUAAGGUGGGACAGAUGAUUAGGGUGAAGUCGUAACAAG